CUUCGGAUCCAACGCUCCUAGCUGGGAGAUGGGAAGCUGUGGGCUGCGCAGUGGGUCUUUAUGGUCUUGGAAAGGGGACACCCCACCUUGUGCUCAUCUUUGUAGAAUCUGGGCAAGUUUGGGGGUCCUCAUAAAGAUUUUGAAAUUUUUGAAGUCUAUUCUCUGCCUGUUUUUCUAAAAAAUUCUUCAGUAGGUGAAUAAUUUACUUAACAUUGUGUACUUGGGAGAAUAUGAUGAUGGGGACAGAGCAUGCUGCAUUGCAUGGCUUCUUAGGAAGAAAACACUAUGGGCUGCCCUGCAGAAAUGCAGGCAGAAGCUGUCAUCAGUGAAUGUUGGGAGGAUCCAUAAUGUUGGAUUGGAAUAGAACUAGAGUGAGACUGUUUCAUGAGGCCUUCUCCCAUCUAGAAUCUUUCUCAGGAGUAUUCUGGAUGCUUUGACCUGGAUCAGUUACUGC
rnacentral:lncRNA from 1 species